rnacentral:rRNA from 1 species
UACGUAGGGUGCGAGCGUUAAUCGGAAUUACUGGGCGUAAAGCGUGCGCAGGCGGUUAUUUAAGUCAGGUGUGAAAGCCCUGGGCUUAACCUAGGAAUUGCGCUUGAGACUGGAUAGCUUGGAGUGCGGCAGAGGGAGGUGGAAUUCCACGUGUAGCAGUGAAAUGCGUAGAGAUGUGGAGGAACACCGAAGGCGAAGGCAGCCUCCUGGGCCAGCACUGACGCUCAUGCACGAAAGCGUGGGGAGCAAACAGG